CCCUUAGAUGUCCGGGGCUGCACGCGCGCUACACUGAAGGAAUCAGCGUGCUAAAACCAUUGUCGAAAGGCAUUGGUAAACCCAUUAAAAUCCUACGUGAUUGGGAUCGGGAAUUGCAAUUAUUUCCCUUGAACGAGGAAUUCCCAGUAAGUGUGGGUCAUAAGCUCGCGUUGAUUACGUCCCUGCCCUUUGUACACACCGCCCGUCGCUGCCCGGGGCUGAGCCGUUUCGAGAAAAGCGGGGACUGCUGCUGUCGGGGCUUUCGGGCCUUGGCUUCGGUGGAAACCGCUUUAAUCGCAGUGGCUUGAACCGGGCAAAANUCGUANCA
rnacentral:rRNA from 1 species